rnacentral:rRNA from 1 species
CAAUAGCGUAUAUUAAAGUUGUUGCAGUUAAAAAGCUCGUAGUUGGAUUUCGGGGCAGCCUGGCUGGUCCGCCGCAAGGCGAGUACUGGUCAGCCGCCCUUCCUCUCGAAAGCCCCGACUGCUCUUCGUUGCAGUGGUCGGGUAGUUCGGGACGUUUACUUUGAAAAAAUUAGAGUGUUCAAGGCAGGCCUACGCCUGAAUACAUUAGCAUGGAAUAAUGGAAGAGGACCUAGGUCCUAUUUUGUUGGUUUCCAGGGCCGAAGUAAUGAUUAAGAGGGACAGUUGGGGGCAUUCGUAUUUAAUUGUCAGAGGUGAAAUUCUCGGAUUUAUGAAAGACGAACAACUGCGAAAGCAUUUGCCAAGGAUGUUUUCAUUAA